GAUGAGAUCUGGAGGAGGAGCAGCGGAGCCAGGCUGGUGGCACUGAGGAGAAAGGGGAGCACAGGUGAAAGUGCCGACCUCGUGGAGAAAGCAUUAAAACGCAGAUCUUAAUUCCCAGAAAUCCGAAUUACGUCCUUCCUGUUUCUCCCCACUUCCACUGCCACCCUCUCGUUCUGAAAACAUACAGCACUGCAUCGAAUGGAUGUGGGCGCUGAGAUUUCCCCUCUAAGAUCAUCCUACAGCAAACCUGCAAGCUGGGGAGCUCGGCUUCCCUUCCCAAGCACUGGAAAGCCCCUGAAAAUAAUAUAUAUAUAGUUUUCUCCCCAAAUACGUGUUGGUGGCUAUAGAAACUGAGUGCAGGAGUCCAACAAGAACAGAAUCCUGCGCUGCUUUUAUUACGUAUUCAUGCAAACAGCCCUCUGUCCAAGCGUGAGGCCAUCACUUAUCCCUUCUCUUGCAAUGCGACUUCUGGGGACGAAUCCCCUCUAUUUCUUCUUGCUGUUUGCAUCAGCGAAGUGCGAACUCGCCCGUGGCACCCGGAGAAACCGCAGCAAUAACAAUAAACAGCGAUGCAUACAUUCACAAGGAGACGUUCCGUACCGGACUUGAUUUAUUUACUCUGUUUAAAACGGAGUUAAAACUCACGUGGCAGCAAAAAAAAAAACCGAUACGGCUGGAAGAGAUGGGAGCUGUGAUGCUGUCAGUGCACGUGUGUGUUUGUGCGCACAUCCACGAAGCAAAACGCGGCGUUGGUUUCAGCCGUGGCUUCACGUUGUGGGGUAACAACUUCUCACCUGGUUGAAAGAUACCUAUUUGUACGCUGUGAAAUGUGAGAUUUCAUGUCCCAUUGGCGGCGCAUUCGAUCAAAUCGGGGCUGAACGGGUCCGUAGGAAAUUAAAGGACGGAUUUAAAGUUAAAAAUCCUCUUGCGGUGCUUUCUGAGAGAGCUGCGCUGCUCGUUAAUACAUAGAGAUGUAAAUGACAGCGGUCGUGGGUAGAUGGGUCGAAUAAAUCACUAAACC
rnacentral:lncRNA from 7 species